rnacentral:lncRNA from 1 species
AUUUUUAUUUUUAUUUAAUUUUAAUUUUCUUUUAAAGUCCCUUUUCAAGUCUUCAAGAAGCCUCCUGGCAUUUUUAUUUUUUUUUAUUUUUAUUUUUUUUUCUCCUGGCAUUUUUAAGCUUAUAUCUUCUCCUACCAAGUGGAAAAUGGAUUAUAUAAAGCCUUUACUUUCCUUGGGAAAACCUGAGUCCAUGAAGAUUUCUAACUACACUUACAUGCUUCCUCUAAUGAGGAGUAUCAUCUGGAGGCAGGAGUAAAUAUUAUCUGCUGUGUUAAACAGAAAGGUCAUUCAUCAAUCUGAAUAUUUUUGUGGUGGAGAUUCUUAUCACCUAACUCAAGAAUCACAAUGUGAGAGGAGAAAUAAUCAUAUCCUGCAGUUCCAACCCAAGAAAAUCCCACACAUUUCUCAGAAGCCUGGGUGUGUGAAGACAGCAUUGAAUGACACGUUCACUCUCAGUUGUCUGCAGGCUUCACUACAAAGGCACUGCUCCCAGGAUAAAAGGAAAAGAUACCUGCCAUACUUCCAAGUGGAAAGUGUGAGGCGUAAGCUAAUUAAUUGUAAGGAUAAGAAGGAUAUCCCAAAGAGCAAGUCUUGUAAGUUUUAUUGGAUACCUCUGGUUUGGAAUUAUUUGUGGUAAGCAGAAUUUUAAGAUGCCUCCCCACCUCCAGACUUCCUGCCCUAAUCUCUGAAUACGUUAAUGUAAUACAUUAUUAUUCCCACAGUUAUGUAUGUACUUAAGGUUGGUGAUCAAUUGACCUUGAGUUAAUCCAAAGGGUAUUUAUCUGGGUAGACCUUAGUCUAAUUACAGGAGCCCUUUAUAAGCAGAGACUUUUCUCUGGUUGGUAGCAGAAGAAGUCAGUGAGAUUCCAAGCCUGAGGUGGACUCAACAUGCCUUGUUACUUUAGAAGAUGGAGGGAGCUAAUUGGCAAGGAUGUGAGUGGACUCUAGAGGCUGAAAGUAGCCUUCCCUUUUACUACCCCCAUCCCACAUCCAGCAAGAAAGCUUCUAUGUCAGUCUUACAACUUUAAGGAAUUGAACUCUGCCAGCAACUUGAAUGUGCUUAGAAGUGAAUUUUUCCCCAGAGGUGCCUGGCGGGUAACUUGAUUUUGGCCUUGUGAGAUCCUAAGCAGAGGAUAUAGUCUGGCCUGCCUAGAGACUGACCUACAGAACUAUGAGCUAAUAAACAGAUGCCAUAAUUGGUUAGGCA